ACUCCUACGGGAGGCAGCAGUGGGGAAUAUUGCACAAUGGGCGUAAGCCUGAUGCAGCAACGCCGCGUGAGGGACGACGGCCUUCGGGUUGUAAACCUCUUUUAGUAGGGAAGAAGCGAAAGUGACGGUACCUGCAGAAAAAGCACCGGCUAACUACGUGCCAGCAGCCGCGGUAAUACGUAGGGUGCAAGCGUUAUCCGGAAUUAUUGGGCGUAAAGAGCUCGUAGGCGGUUUGUCGCGUCUGCUGUGAAAACUGGAGGCUCAACCUCCAGCCUGCAGUGGGUACGGGCAGACUAGAGUGCGGUAGGGGAGAUUGGAAUUCCUGGUGUAGCGGUGGAAUGCGCAGAUAUCAGGAGGAACACCGAUGGCGAAGGCAGAUCUCUGGGCCGUAACUGACGCUGAGGAGCGAAAGCAUGGGGAGCGAACAGGAUUAGAUACCCUGGUAGUCCAUGCCGUAAACGUUGGGAACUAGAUGUAGGGGCCAUUCCACGGUUUCUGUGUCGCAGCUAACGCAUUAAGUUCCCCGCCUGGGGAGUACGGCCGCAAGGCUAAAACUCAAAGGAAUUGACGGGGGCCCGCACAAGCGGCGGAGCAUGCGGAUUAAUUCGAUGCAACGCGAAGAACCUUACCAAGGCUUGACAUAUACCGGAAAAGUUCAGAAAUGUUCUCCCCGCAAGGUCGGUAUACAGGUGGUGCAUGGUUGUCGUCAGCUCGUGUCGUGAGAUGUUGGGUUAAGUCCCGCAACGAGCGCAACCCUCGUUCUAUGUUGCCAGCACGUAAUGGUGGGAACUCAUAGGAGACUGCCGGGGUCAACUCGGA
rnacentral:rRNA from 1 species